UACGAAGGGGGCUAGCGUUGUUCGGAAUCACUGGGCGUAAAGCGCACGUAGGCGGCUUGUUAAGUCGGGGGUGAAAUCCUGAGGCUCAACCUCAGAACUGCCUUCGAUACUGGCGAUCUUGAGUCCGGAAGAGGUUGGUGGAACAGCUAGUGUAGAGGUGAAAUUCGUAGAUAUUAGCUAGAACACCAGUGGCGAAGGCGGCCAACUGGUCCGGAACUGACGCUGAGGUGCGAAAGCGUGGGGAGCAAACAGG
rnacentral:rRNA from 1 species